CUUUGCCCUUCACGAUGAGAUUCCCAGUGUCCAAGAGCUGAGCUUGUUCUGCAUUUGAGGAGUUCACGUUGUUGGUCCACACAAUCUGGCCACCGUGGUCCCUUAGAACCAUGCUCCCAUCGAAAUUUAACUUGACCUUUGAUCCCCAGGUGUACACAGGGCGGAGAGGAUUUGCACUCCAUACAACAGUUCUUUCAGACACUUUGGAGAACCAAAUGGAGAAGGUGAAUGUGUUGGGGGAGAUUUCGUAGAAGCCACAGCUGAACGUACCAUCUGGCGAACGGAGUACAUCGGAGCUGCGAUCUGCUGAGAGAGAGAAGCCUGAAGAGAGGACAUUUAGAGCUGAGACUUGCAAAAUCAGAUGAAUCAGAGUGAGAAGAACCACAAAUCUGGAAACCGCACCCAUGGUUAUUGCAGCAUUUGAGUUGUGUUCGCGUGACCUGAAUGGAGGACGAUGUUAUAGGGACCCAACUUGCAAUGCAGCGUCCAUCCUCAAGAAGCAAGUGGGAGACUCGGCCCACAGCGUUCACGUCAGUCACAGUCCGAUGAGCUGUGAACCUGGUGGUGCAGUCUCUUUGUCCUCCAUGCUUCAGCCUUACAAAACAGAGUAUCUUUUUGACUUUUUUGACUGAGAGGGACUGCACUACUGUGACUGGGUUCUUAUCAUGUUAUUAAUUUCUCAAAUGAGCUAACUGUUUAAAAGUUAAGUUGUUUCUCUAUGUGACAUGUAAGGUUUCAGGUUGUCAGUUGUAUGCAGACUUAAAAGUACCCACUUUUUAAACGAGCAAAGUCCAUUUUUAACCAUUAAAUUAUCGUUGGCGUUUGAUUUUGGCCAUAAAACUCAACAACCGGAAAUCUUCUGCCAUCCAAAUUGCAAUGCACUCUUAGUCAUGGAGACUCCUCAGGAAGGAAUGUCAUUUUGUUCUUUGAAGAAGACUGACUUAUGGGAGAGGUCAGGUCUGAACAUAGUGGUAUGUGCGGCCAUUAGGCAAGUGCCCUCACAUGGGUGCUUUGGAAAAGAAAACAUUUAGAAUUCAUUAGAAUUCGUUGACGUUUGAUUUUGGUCAUAAAACUCAAAAACCGGAAAUCUCUACCAUCCAACUAUCAAACCGUUUACAUUUUGCCAUCUAGUUAUUUCAAAAGGUGGUUUCACCAAUGUGGACAAUACAUGGUAGUGGAACCCAUAUGUUAGCAGUAUCUUCUUCCUCUCUCCCUCCCUCCUCCGCCUCUCUCCACCCUCUUUCUAUAGUAGAAGAGAUUGACAUAGCGGCGGUACCUCCAAGCUCCUCUAAGCGGUGGUGCCCCAGCUCCCCGCUGAGGUGGCGCUUGAGUUCCUUGCUACAGUGGCGUCUAGGCUCCCACCACGGAGGCACCCGAGAUUCUUGGUGCGGAGGCAACUCAGGCCUAACCCCUAGGCGGCAACGGAUGAGGUGAGCGAGGGCGAGGUAGGGGAGAGGAGGAUGCAGUGGAGGAGAUGAGGUCGUGAGUUCCACAUUCGGAUUUGGAGCAGUGUCACACCUGGUUUUAAAGACAAACUAAGUGACUAUCAUAUGUGUGUCAGGAUCAAGUUUCACACAUACGAUGACUUCAAUAAAUAUCAAAUACAGUGUUAUAACAUAAAGAGAGUUACAUAUAUUACCUAACCAGAAAUGAGAUGAAAAUCUCUAGUAUAAGCAGCGCAUCUCCUACAACUCCUCAUGCAGUUGACUGGGGGAAACGUACGCCUAGCAAAUCUUCAAAGUCUUCAACAGAGUUGUCUUGUACUGAACAGUAGAUAUACCAAGUGUGAGUACACUUAUGGUUGUUACUCAGCAAGUGUGGGAAAAUAUGUAGUGUAAGGCCAAAACAAGGAAUAGCUAGCUGGUUUACUGCGUUAAGCAUUUUAAUUAGUUGGUCAAAUUUUAUUAGCAAGAUAUUUACUAAAAUAUAAGUUUAUACAUGUAACACCCAAAAUUUCAAUAAUUCAAACUCAUUAAAAUUUGCUCAAAUUAAGGUGUUAUUUAAUUUCUAGGUAUUUAAUUUCAUUUUCCUUAAUUCAAUUAAUUCAUCAUAGGAAUUAUUUGUGCAUUCAUGCUGGUGCAUUUAUUUUGAUUGCUUGAGUUUGAUCAAAGUUUGAAUUUCCAAAUUUGAAUUCAAAUUUCCAAAACCAUUUUCUAUUUCCCUUUCUCUUUCUUUUCCUUCUUCUCUACCUGGGCUGAAAGCUCCUUCUCCCUCCUUUUCUUUUUCUUCUCCGGCCCAGCUCGUUCUCCUCCGCGCGGCCCAGCUCCCCGCCGCGUCGCCCCCUCCUCCGUUUCCUCUUCUGCCGGCCCAGCCCGCCGCUUUGCCUCCUCCCCGCGGCUCACGCGCGCUCGCGCCGGCCCAGCUCCGCUCGGCCUGCUCCGCCCGCCGCUUCCUCGCCCGCGCCUCGCGGCCCACCAACGCCGCGCCAGCCCACGAAGACGCGCCGGCCCGCCACCUGCCUUCUCCUUCCUCCGGCCGGAUUCUCCUCCGCCCGCAACCGCCGCGCGCCGUCUCCGCCGCGGACUCCCUCCGCUCCGCCUCCUUCGGGGGGGGUUUAAACCCCGGGCCCUCUAUCUCUAGCGCCUAUAAAAGCCGCCCCCCCUCCCGGUCUCCUCCACCAGCACCCGCGCCCCAAAACCCUAGCCGCUCGAGCUUCUAGCGCCGCCGCCUCUUCCUCGCCGCCGUUCGCCGUCGCCGGUGAGCCCCCGUCAACAAGAACCCCCAAAACGGGAUCGCCGUGUUCCUCACUCUCUUUUGGUGCAACCCGCGCGUUAAACCGUGCACUGUGGCGUGAUUUCGCCCAACUCCGGCGACCCGCCGCCGCUCGCCGUCGUGCGCCGCCGCUCGCCGCCGCUGCCGCUCUAGUUUCCGCCGCCGUCGCGAGUCGUCGUCGACCGCAGCCGUCGGAUCAAGAUCCGACGGUCAAUCGCGGGUCAAUCCGGCCGCGUACCGGUCAACCGAGCCGCGCCGCGCCGCUUUUGCACUUAAGACCCUGUCUUUUCCGCAAAUCAACCCGCGAUCCAGAUCGCGUUGAAAAUAUUUACAGAUCUGCCCUCGCAUUUUUCGGUUUAACCCUUGAGCUUUCCAGAAAUCAACCCGCCGUCCGGGUAUGUUGUUUUUACGCGUCAGACCCUCGGUUUAUACGCAUAAUUACGUAUAAGCCCUCGGUUUUCGCGGAUAGGCCCUAAAAGUUUUGUUUUUCUUACAGAAAAGUCCCUGGAUCUUGUUUUAAUCAUAUCUUUUGCAUCUUAACUCCGUUUUUCGCGUUCUUUAUAUCCACGUGUUCGUUUUAAAGCGUAGAUCAUCUUUUCAAGCUUGUUGUCUCUGUUUGACUAUGUUUGGUGUACUGUUUUCUUACUUUUGCCCAUGUUUGCUUGUAUGUGCUCGUGUGACGCGUGUAGACGCCCCGCAGUUCGAGGGAGUUGCCGAUCAAGCCUUCGAGGAGUACGAACAGCAGGAGCAAGGCCAAGAAGGCAAGUCGUGUCCUUGAUCACUACCUUGUUGUCCUAUACACCUUUACUUUCUCGUACUCAACAUUAUGCCAUGCACAUGUUAAGAUUAAAUUGAUGGGUCCCAAUUAAGGUUCGCCUAGAUUGAUUUACCUUUGCCUUGACCAACCGGUUUACUUUAUGUUGGGUAGCUCAUGCUUAGUGCUUACUUGGUAUAUGGUGGUUUAACUAAACACAAAGCUUAAUCUUGCUUUACUUCUGUUAUACCUUUCAUUAAGACAAGAUCAUUAUUUGUUAAUCGGAACAUGGAGCGACCACCCAGGAAAACAGUGCUACCACAAGACUAAAUGGCUCUGGUCUUGGCUGAUUAAUUAGAAACCUUAGUCUGGGGUGACCUUACUCGUGAUGAGGCAAGAGGGGGGACUGAGUCGUUGCAUUUACCUGGGAUGGGUGGUGCACGCCAGACACCGAAACCUUAGCGGGUUACCACUGAUUAAGGAAUCUUUGUAAAGGCCUCGUAGCGUCCCUAUGCAAUCACACCUCGGAAGUGUGGUAUGGUGCCUUGCAAACACCGCAUGGUUGGGUCCAAAGUUCUUAUGAACUUUUACGCGACUUGUGGGUAAAGAUGUGCCACCUCUGCAGAGUGUUAAACUGAUCGAUCAGCCGUGCUCACGGUUAAGAGCGGCCUGGACCCUCACAUGAUAAUAUUAUCGGAAGAUGGACUUAACUUGUUAUCAUUUCAUGCAUUUGUUGCUUACUUUAUGUUCAUGUUUAAUUUUGGGUGGUAUGAACUUAUACUUAGUUAAUUGCUAAUAAAACUUGACCAACUUAAUUAAAAGCGAAUGCUAUUUAUGCCUUAGCCAUACCUUGAAUUAGCCUUACACUACACUAUUCCCCACGACUUGUUGAGUACCAACCAUAAGUGUACUCACCCUUGCAAAACCGCUGUUCAGACCAAGUUAAUUGGGAAGAGGAGUACUUCCACGACUUCGAGGAGUUCUAGGCGUACGUUUCUUCAGUCAGCUGCCUGUGGAGUCGUCAUCAUCUUUGGAGUUCCGCUGCGUAAUAAUUAGACUUUGUGGUUUAUUUGAGACAUUCGGUCAUGUAAUAAUGGUUAAUACUCUCUUUAUUCGAUCUAGCACUGUCUUUGCUAUUCACUAUUGUCGUACAUGUGUGUAACUUGAUCCUGGCGCACAUGUAUUUAAUCACUCGAUUUUGUCCUUAAAAUUGGGUGUGACAAAAGUGGUAUCAGAGUCGUGUUGACUGUAGGACGUUAGCCUAGUUAGAAAAUGGUCGUAUUUAAGGAUUAUAAUAAUCUAGUAGCCAUUCUACCUUUCUUAUUUAAAUCUACUUAAUUAUUCUUAAACUUGAUUUGUCUCAUCCUUAUUGCUAUUCUAUUAUCUAGCUUUGUUCAAAAUUUUAUUCUAAAAAUUUCUUCUUUCUUUCUGCUAGAUGGCUCGCACCCGGUUGACCGCACGCAAGAGCACCCGUCCGCCGCGUCAUGGCAUCGCGCCGUCGCACGCCCCCGUGGAUCCUUGGGACGAGGAAGAAGAGGAAGAGAUCUUCCAGCAUCCGGGGGAUGACUCGGACGAGGACGCCGUGACCGUGGAGCAGGAGACCACGCCGGCACCAGCACCAUCUCCAGCACCGGCGCCCGCUCCUGCACCAGCCCCGACGCCCGUACCGGUCGUCGACUUGACGGAUGAUGAGCCCGAAGCAGAUCCCGAGCCCGAGACAUGGAUCAAAUGGGUGAAGGAAGACUAUGGCCAAGGAGUGCACAUGGCCGACAUCCUUAGGUGGACUUGUCACCGCUUGGGGUACGGCAUGAGGCCACUCUACAAGUGCUCCCGGUUCACCCACCCUCGCUAUCCCACUUUUUGGGAGGUGAAGGUUGUCCUUCGUGAGGAGCACGAAGGAGGAUGGGAGGUGAAGGCUAUUCACCAUGAUGUGACCAUCAGGAGGACCAUGGAGUCCGGCAUUGCCGAGGCCGCCAGGAGGGCACUUGAGGUCGUCUCCCACAAGGAACGGCCGCGACUGCAGCACACUUACCAUCGGUUCCUUCCUUACCGAGCUAGUGGGGAAGCAAGAACCUUCAUCGCUACUAAUGAUGGGGUUGACAUGGCUACAGACUUCCUCCACAAGUACACGUCGGCAGCUCUCACCGCACUGAAUGAAGCAAACAACCAUAUCCAGGAGCUUCAGCAGGAGGUUCAGGAACUCCGGUGGGAGAGGGAUGCGAAUAUGGCUGCCGCGACGGGAGCACCGCCGCCGCAGGAAUUUGCUGUUCAUCCCGCUUCGUCGCCGUCGCCUAAGCGUCCCCGCUACGACUCGCCCGGCGCCGCCGCAGAAGACCUCUAGGAAAUUAGGAGUGUUUUAGUUUAAAUUCUUGUAAUCGUUAGACGUCGUUCGAGUGUGUUAGUUAAAGUGUGCUUAGCUGUUUGGUUUUGUGCUACAUGUUUGAGUUGGAUUUUGUAAUGAGUGCGGUAUGUGGGGCAAUUGCCACACGAUACUGGUCUUAAUAAAAUAAAGUGCCUAGUUGGGUUUUAUUUCUGUUCUAAAUCAGUAAUUAAUCUUCCUUAAUCAUGAUCUACCAUCUGUCUGAAUGUAUCUAUCAUGCAAGCUAAGCGACAUUCAAUUCUGUUCUCGACAUUAUCUGACACGCCAGUACUGUUUUAUUUAUAUCUCGAGCUAAGGAAGUCCAAAUGACAUGAAACCAGUGGGCUUAGUUUCAUAACUUCGUGGAGUAUUUUCUGUAAAAUUUUCAGAAUUUUUGGAUUACCUGUCUGGGAGAUGUAUGCAAAAUAGUAAAGCACUCAGAAUCUGAAACUGUCAACCGACACUGUCAGCUUGUUAAUUUUGUAACUCGAGAUCCAGAAGUCCGAUUGAGAUGAUUCAAGUUGGGUUGGUUCAAAAAUUUAAUAAGUUACGACUUGGUAAUUUUUCAGUAUUUAUGGACACUUCUUCCGACGACCACACCUAAUUAAAUGGAGCUAACAGAAUCUGUUUUACUUUUACAUCUUGUCGCUUUAUCUUUCUUAGUUAUUCUUUCACACAUCUAUCUAAAUCUAUUGUCUCUAACGCUCAGAUGGUAAACACCAGGUCCGGAUCAGGAGUUGACCGUCCCGCAGUGCCUCGCCUCAGGGACAACAGCAGCAAUCCCAGCACCGCUCCGCAGCAGAACCAGCAAGCACCUGCAGGGAUGGAGCAGUUUUUAGCAGCUCAGACUCAGCUUCUCGCCGGACUGACCAACACCGUGGCAGCUUUACAAGCUCAGCUGAACAAUAACAACAACAACAACCAGCAGCAGCCACCGCCAAGGGACAGGCACAGGGAGUUCAUGAGCCACAAGCCCCCGACGUUUUCACAUUCUCCGGAUCCAUUAGAUGCUGAUGAUUGACUGAAAACAGUGGAGAAGAUGCUGAAUAUCGCCCAGUGUACUGACAGGGAGAAGGUCCUGUACGCUUCAGGACGCCUGGAAGGGCCAGCUGCUGAUUGGUGGGAUGCUUACACCGCCGCACAUGCCAAUGCUAAUGGCAUUACCUGGGAUGAAUUCCGGACUAACUUCAGAAGUCAUCAUAUUAUUCUGGUUAAUGAUGCUUAAAAAGAAGGAGUUCCUUGCUCUUAAGCAGGGGAACAUGACAGUGGCAGAGUACAGGGACAAGUUUGUCCAGUUGUCCCGAUAUGCUCCCGAAGAUGUUGCUGAUGAUGAGCAGAAGCAGGAGCUGUUCUUGGAUGGGUUGAUUGGACCGCUCCAAUAUCAGCUUAUGUCGCACACCUUCCCCAGUUUCCAGAAGAUGCUAGACAAGGCAAUUGGCCUGGAACACAAGAGGAACGAGCUCAGGGAGAUGAAGAGGAAAUUCAAUUCCCAGUCGUCUUCAAGAAGCAACACCCGCCCUCGCUUUGCUCCACAGCAAGGGACGCCGUUCCGCGCAGGGGGCCCGAGUGGGAAUUUUGGGCAGCAGUCAUUCCCGCGCCCUGCUCAGAAGUCAUUCCAGCGCCCCAGCCCUCAGUUCCAGCGUCCAGGGAUGCAGACUCCGCGCCCCGGCUUUACGCAGAACCGCCAGAUGACCCCUACUGGCACUCCAGCAAGGUCCAAUGCUCCAGUAGGUCCUACUUGCUUCAAAUGUGGCGAGGUUGGUCAUUAUGCCAGCUCUUGUCCUAAGAGAGGUGGACCAGCUACCCCCGUGCAGAAUAGCAGUGCUCCUCGGCAGAAUCAGAUGCAGCAACCGAGGAACGGGAACCAGACCCCACAAGGCAAUCAGGGGCAACAAAGCUUUGUUCGUGGCAAGGUGAACCACAUGGAAGCCGAGACUGCUAAAGAGGCUCCAGAUGUAGUGCUCGGUAUGUUCUUUGUCAACUCUGCCCCCGCAUCAGUUUUAUUUGACUCUGGAGCAUCGCAUUCUUUUGUCACUAGUCAUUAUGUAGCAAAACAUAAUUUACCCAUGCAUACAAUGAGGCGCCAUAUGCUAGUAAGUUCACCUGGGGGGUCAAUGAAGGCUCAAUACAUCUGUCCACAAGUUAAACUGAGAAUAAUGGGUAUAGAGUUUCCGGCUGAUCUUAUCGUCCUUGAAUCCGGUGGAAUCGAUGUAAUUCUGGGAAUGAGAUGGUUAGCCGCUUUUGAUGCAAUGAUUCAGUGUGCCAAGAGGACAGUUCUGCUCACAGGUCCUGAUGGAGAGAAAGUGGAGUUUGUAGCUACUAUACCGUCAGCAGCAGAUUGUGCAGUUAAUCAGUUGGCUGAAAAAUCCUUGGAAGAUAUCAAAGUGGUGUGUGACUACCCGGAUGUGUUCCCCGACGAUUUACCAGGUAUGCCACCUGACCGCGACAUUGAAUUUGCUAUUGAUCUUUUACCUGGUACUGCACCUAUCUCCAAACGUCCAUAUAGAAUGUUGGUUGAACAAUUAAAAGAAUUGAAACAACAACUAGAGGAAUUAUCAGCAAAACAGUUUAUUCGGCCUAGUUCAUCACCUUGGGGAGCACCGGUUAUCUUUGUGCCAAAGAAGGACGGUACUCAGAGGAUGUGUGUGGAUUAUAGAGCACUGAACGAGGUGACCGUCAAGAACAAGUACCCAUUGCCUCGCAUUGAGGAUUUGUUCGAUCAGAUGAGAGGAGCCAAGGUAUUCUCCAAGAUUGAUUUGCGAUCGGGAUAUCAUCAGAUGAAGAUCAGGCCAUCUGACAUACCCAAGACCGCUUUUACUUCCAGAUAUGGUCUCUUCGAGUACACGGUAAUGUCGUUCGGGCUGACAAAUGCUCUAGCUUACUUCAUGUAUCUGAUGAAUAAGGUAUUUAUGGAGUACCUGGAUAAGUUCGUUGUGGUGUUCAUUGAUGAUAUCAUGAUUUACUCCAAGAGUGAGGAAGAACAUGAGGAACACUUGAGGUUAGUGCUUCAGAAAUUGAGGGAACAUCAGUUGUAUGCGAAAUUCAGCAAGUGUGAGUUCUGGAUAAAGGAAGUCUCUUUUCUUGGUCAUAUCAUCUCCGAUGGUGGAAUUUCAGUGGAUCCAGGCAAGGUUAGGGAUGUCUUGAAGUGGAAUCCGCCGCAGACAGUAACUGAGAUCAGGAGUUUUCUCGGACUUGCAGGCUAUUACCGCAGGUUCAUUGAAGGAUUCUCCAAGAUAGUAAAGCCCCUCACUACGCUACUAGAAAAAGGAAGGGAAUUCAAAUGGACAAAGGCAUGUCAGGCAAGUUUUGAGGAACUGAAGAAGAGGUUGACCACAGCUCCAGUGUUGGUAAUGCCAGAUCUACAUAAGGGGUACAACAUAUAUUGUGAUGCAUCUCGACAGGGUUUAGGCUGUGUUCUGAUGCAGGAAGGUCAUGUGAUCGCCUAUGCUUCUAGGCAAUUGAGGAAACAUGAGCAGAAUUACCCGACUCAUGAUUUGGAGUUAGCCGCAGUGGUUCAUGCCUUGAAGAUUUGGAGACACUACAUUCUGGGGACUAAGUGUCAGAUCUAUACUGAUCACAAGAGUCUCAAGUACAUCUUCACUCAGAAGGACCUUAAUCUGAGACAGCGACGAUGGUUAGAGCUUAUCAAUGACUAUGAUCUGGAGAUUCACUAUCAUCCUGGUAAGGCUAACCUGGUUGCAGACGCUUUAAGUCGGAAGGGUCAUGUUAACUUAGCCUUAGCAUUCCAGUUACCUGACGAGUUGAUGAAAGAAUUUGAGAGGCUCAACUUGAGCGUCGUUAGGCACACUGAGGGAGCAACGAUGGAAGUGGAGUCGACUUUAGAGAAAGAGAUACGGGUAGGACAGCUUGAGGAUGCCAAGGUCAAGGAAAUCAAGGAGCUGGUAAAGGAAGGAAGAGCCACAGACUAUACAGAAGACUCUCAAGGAACCUUAUGGGUCAAAGGAAGGAUUUGGGUACCCGAUGUGGGAAAUCUCCGUGAGACGAUCUUGAAGGAAGCUCACGAUUCAGUUUAUUCCAUCCACCCCGGCAGUACCAAGAUGUACCAAGAUCUUAAGCAGAAGUAUUGGUGGCCCGGAAUGAAGAAAGAUAUAGCUGCACAUGUAGCCGUUUGCGACAUAUGUCAAAGGGUUAAAGCUGAACACCAGAGGCCAGCUGGAUUGCUUCAACCGUUGAAAGUGCCUGAAUGGAAGUGGGAAGAAAUCGGCAUGGACUUUAUAGUUGGAUUGCCCCGCACUCAAGCUGGUUAUGACUCGAUUUGGGUUAUUGUCGACAGAUUGACAAAGGUAGCACACUUCAUUCCAGUAAAGACUACACACUCUGGGGCAAGGUUAGCAGAGUUGUACAUGUCAAGAAUAGUGUGUUUGCAUGGUGUGCCCAAGAAGAUUGUGUCUGACCGAGGUACUCAGUUCACGUCACGCUUCUGGCAGAAAUUGCAUGAAUCUCUAGGCACAAGGUUGAAUUUCAAUUCUGCUUAUCACCCUCAGACAGAUGGACAGACCGAGAGAACAAAUCAAAUAUUGGAGGAUAUGUUAGAGCAUGUGCAUUGAAGCAUGGAGGUAGUUGGGACAAGAGUCUACCUUAUGCAGAGUUCUCCUAUAAUAACAGUUAUCAAGCCAGUCUCAAAAUGUCACCAUUUGAGGCUUUGUAUGGUAGAAAGUGCCGAACACCCCUUUAUUGGAGUGAAACAGGAGAGAGUCAGUUAUUCGGGCCAGAAAUUAUACAAGAGGCAGAAAGACGGUCCAGAUCAUCCGGGAAAACUUGAGGACUGCUUAGUCUCGACAGAAGAGUUAUGCUGACACCAGGAGAAGGGAAUUGACCUUUGAAGUAGGUGAUUAUGUGUAUCUCAAGGUAUCGCCCAUCAGGGGUAUGCGCAGAUUCAAGGUCAAAGGGAAGUUGUCACCUCGAUUCAUCGGUCCAUUCAAGAUUCUUGAGCGAGUGGGACAGGUAGCCUAUCGAUUGGAGUUGCCUAAUCAGUUGUCGGAUGUACACGAUCUCACAGCUUAAGAAGUGCCUCAGAGUUCCCGAGGAACAGUUGCCAAUGGAGGAAUUGAAUGUUCAGGAUGAUCUCACUUACACGGAAUACCCCAUUAAGAUUUUGGAUACUUCGAAAAGGGUUACAAGGAAUCGGACGAUCAGAAUGUGCAAGGUUCAGUGGAGUCACCAUACAGAGGACGAGGCAACUUGGGAAAGAGAGGAUGAGUUACAGAAGGAAUUUCCCCAUCUCUUUGCAGGAUCUUCCGAAUCUCGAGCACGAGAUUCUUCUUAAGGGGGGUAGGAUUUGUAACACCCAAAAUUUCAAUAAUUCAAACUCAUUAAAAUUUGCUCAAAUUAAGGUGUUAUUUAAUUUCUAGGUAUUUAAUUUCAUUUUCCUUAAUUCAAUUAAUUCAUCAUAGGAAUUAUUUGUGCAUUCAUGCUGGUGCAUUUAUUUUGAUUGCUUGAGUUUGAUCAAAGUUUGAAUUUCCAAAUUUGAAUUCAAAUUUCCAAAACCAUUUUCUAUUUCCCUUUCUCUUUCUUUUCCUUCUUCUCUACCUGGGCUGAAAGCUCCUUCUCCCUCCUUUUCUUUUUCUUCUCCGGCCCAGCUCGUUCUCCUCCGCGCGGCCCAGCUCCCCGCCGCGUCGCCCCCUCCUCCGUUUCCUCUUCUGCCGGCCCAGCCCGCCGCUUUGCCUCCUCCCCGCAGCUCACGCGCGCUCGCGCCGGCCCAGCUCCGCUCGGCCUGCUCCGCCCGCCGCUUCCUCGCCCGCGCCUCGCGGCCCACCAACGCCGCGCCGGCCAACGAAGACGCGCCGGCCCGCCACCUGCCUUCUCCUUCCUCCGGCCGGAUUCUCCUCCGCCCGCAACCGCCGCGCACCGUCUCCGCCGCGGACUCCCUCCGCUCCGCCUCCUUCGGGGGGGUUUAAACCCCGGGCCCUCUAUCUCUAGCGCCUAUAAAAGCCGCCGCCCCCUCCCGGUCUCCUCCACCAGCACCCGCGCCCCAAAACCCUAGCCGCUCGAGCUCCUAGCGCCGCCGCCUCUUCCUCGCCGCCGUUCGCCGUCGCCGGUGAGCCCCCGUCGAAAAGAACCCCCAAAACGGGAUCGCCGUGUUCCUCACUCUCUUUUGGUGCAACCCGCGUGUUAAACCGUGCACUGUGGCGUGAUUUCGCCCAACUCCGGCGACCCGCCGCCACUCGCCGUCGCGCGCCGCCGCUCGCCGCCGCCGCCGCUCUGGUUUCCGCCGCCGUCGCGAGUCGUCGUUGACCGCAGCCGUCGGAUCAAGAUCCGACGGUCAAUCGCGGGUCAAUCCGGCCGCGUGCCGGUCAACCGAGCCGCGCCGCGUGACUUUUGCACUUAAGACCCUGUCUUUUCCGCAAAUCAACCCGCGGUCCACAUCGCGUUGAAAAUAUUUACAGAUCUGCCCUCGCAUUUUUCGGUUUAACCCUUGAGCUUUCCAGAAAUCAACCCGCCGUCCGGGUUUGUUGUUUUUACGCGUCAGACCCUCGGUUUAUACGCAUAAUUACGUAUAAGCCCUCGGUUUUCGCGGAUAGGCCCUAAAAGUUUUGUUUUUCUUACAGAAAAGUCCCUGGAUCUUGUUUUAAUCAUAUCUUUUGCAUCUUAACUCCGUUUUUCGCGUUCUUUAUAUCCACGUGUUCGUUUUAAAGCUUAGAUCAUAUUUUCAAGCUUGUUGUCUCUGUUUGACUAUGUUUGGUGUACUGUUUUCUUACUUUUGCCCAUGUUUGCUUGUAUGUGCUCGUGUGACGCGUGUAGACGCCCCGCAGUUCGAGGGAGUUGCCGAUCAAGCCUUCGAGGAGUACGAACAGCAGGAGCAAGGCCAAGAAGGCAAGUCGUGUCCUUGAUCACUACCUUGUUGUCCUAUACACCUUUACUUUCUCAUACUCAACAUUAUGCCAUGCACAUGUUAAGAUUAAAUUGAUGGGUCCCAAUUAAGGUUCGCCUAGAUUGAUUUACCUUUGCCUUGACCAACCGGUUUACUUUAUGUUGGGUAGCUCAUGCUUAGUGCUUACUUGGUAUAUGGUGGUUUAACUAAACACAAAGCUUAAUCUUGCUUUACUUCUGUUAUACCUUUCAUUAAGACAAGAUCAUUAUUUGUUAAUCGGAACAUGGAGCGACCACCCAGGAAAACAGUGCUACCACAAGACUAAAUGGCUCUGGUCUUGGCUGAUUAAUUAGAAACCUUAGUCUGGGGUGACCUUACUCGUGAUGAGGCAAGAGGGGGGACUGAGUCGUUGCAUUUACCUGGGAUGGGUGGUGCAUGCCAGACACCGAAACCUUAGCGGGUUACCACUGAUUAAGGAAUCUUUGUAAAGGCCUCGUAGCGUCCCUAUGCAAUCACACCUCGGAAGUGUGGUAUGGUGCCUUGCAAACACCGCAUGGUUGGGUCCAAAGUUCUUAUGAACUUUUACGCGACUUGUGGGUAAAGAUGUGCCACCUCUGCAGAGUGUUAAACUGAUCGAUCAGCCGUGCUCACGGUUAAGAGCGGCCUGGACCCUCACAUGAUAAUAUUAUCGGAAGAUGGACUUAACUUGUUAUCAUUUCAUGCAUUUGUUGCUUACUUUAUGUUCAUGUUUAAUUUUGGGUGGUAUGAACUUAUACUUAGUUAAUUGCUAAUAAAACUUGACCAACUUAAUUAAAAGCGAAUGCUAUUUAUGCCUUAGCCAUACCUUGAAUUAGCCUUACACUACACUAUUCCCCACGACUUGUUGAGUACCAACCAUAAGUGUACUCACCCUUGCAAAACCGCUGUUCAGACCAAGUUAAUUGGGAAGAGGAGUACUUCCACGACUUCGAGGAGUUCUAGGCGUACGUUUCUUCAGUCAGCUGCCUGUGGAGUCGUCAUCAUCUUUGGAGUUCCGCUGCGUAAUAAUUAGACUUUGUGGUUUAUUUGAGACAUUCGGUCAUGUAAUAAUGGUUAAUACUCUCUUUAUUCGAUCUAGCACUGUCUUUGCUAUUCACUAUUGUCGUACAUGUGUGUAACUUGAUCCUGGCGCACAUGUAUUUAAUGCACUCGAUUUUGUCCUUAAAAUCGGGUGUGACAAUACACCAAAUUAAGCAUAAGAGCAAGAACAUAUCACAAAAAUAAAACACAUGUUAAUUAUUUUUCAAGUUCAAUUAUCAUGCGAGGGUCCAGGCCGCUCUUUACCGUGAGCACGGCUGAUAUAUCAAUUGUACACUCUGCAGAGGUUGUACACUUUCACCGUAAGUCACGUAAAAGUUCAGAAGAACUUUAGACCCAACCAUGCUGUGCAAAAAUAGGUACUUAUCACACUAUCGAGGUGUGGCUGCAUAGGGACACUAAGAGGUCUUUACAAAGAUUCCGUAAUAAGUAAUAACAUGCUAAGGUUUCCUCAUAAGGGGAUGAACCCUCCCCCAAGUGGUGUGUACACCCCUUGACUGGACAAGCCUUUGCACAACUUAUGAACCCCUCUUGCCCUUUCGGUAAGACUAUCACAAACUAGAGUUUCUAAAUAAUUAGCCAAGAUCAGAGCCCAUUGGUCUUAUGGUUGUACUGUUUUCCUGGAUGGUCACACCAUGUUCCAAUUAAGGCAUGUGAGUUGUUGUAAUUAACAAAGGUGCAUAACAUAAAAUAAAUCAGGUUCAUCAUUAUUCAUUUCUUCCCACCAUAAACCAGGUAUAGCAACUAGCAUAGCUACCCAACAAUAAAGUAAAACCCAGGUUGACAAGGGAUAAUAUGGAAAUUAGGUAAAUCCUUAAUUAGGAACCAUCAAAUUAAGACACAAGCGUGCAAAGCAUAUGUUUCAUAUAUAAAUGUUUUAUAGGAUAGAAUGUGAUCAAGGGCACAGCUUGCCUUCCAUAAAGUCAUGUUGUUGUUCAUAGUCUUCGAAGUCUUCUUCUUGAGAUUCCUUGAACUGCGCUCCUUCGGCAUCACACAAUCAUCCAAAGCAACCAUACAAGCAAAAAAAUACAACUAAUAAGAAACAAUACACCAAACAAUAAAAUCUUACUAAAACAACACUUUAAAUCUAUCGUAAACGUUGCAAGGAUCGCAUGAGCGCAAGUUGAAGGAUCUUGAUGUCGCCUAGAGGGGGGUGAAUAGGAGUAACCUGAAAUCGUCACCACUUAAAACAAGUUUAUCAGCGACUUGCGGAUUAUUCGGGAAGUACUUCUGGAGAUUCCCCAAAUUACGGAAUCUCUGAAGAAAUCUUUGGAAUCUCCAAAGAUAGGAAACACACGCCUUAAGCAGCGGAAUAAAACUGUCUACCUGAAAAUCGAAACUUCCGAUUUCAAAAUUGGAACCUCCGGUUUUGGCUCGGGCAGAGAGAACUCCCAAACCUUAUGCGUUGCAAGUGAGGUAAAGAUCAAACCAGGUUUAGAGAGUAUGCUCAAAUAGUGUACCUUAGUAGGAUCACAAAGUUCAUGGACUUUGCAAACACAAACACCCGAGUAGAUCAACCAACAUUACGAAAUCACAAUGAAAUUGAAGUGCAAUACAAAUGUAAGCAAACUAGUGAGGAGACAUAAUGAUUUGUUUCACCGAAGUUCAGAUACACCCCAAGCGAAUCCUACAUCUCCGUUGGGUGCUUCCAAAGAAGCCGGGUUGCACUCAACCCUUUCCCUACUUCACUAGUUAGCUUCUUCCCUUUCGGAGGCAAAGCUCGACCUGCAGAAACUGUCCCAUGGCUCACCACACCUUGGGCGCUCUUGGGCGAUGCAUAGCCAUCUAGGAGGAACACCUCCAAGAGUAACAAAUGUUUCACUUGAAACUGACAAGGUAAACCAAUGCUCAAGAAUAUGAGUGCUCUUCUAGUGCUCUUAAAUGGCUCCUCUCUACAACCCAACUCACAAGAUCUAGCAAAGAUCACACCACCUCACAAAGAGGGGUUGGGAAGAGCUAUUUGGCUUUAGUUCAGCUCAGAACAGGCAAGAAGCACACCAACAACUGCAAAAAAAUAACCAGCCACUGAGGAGGUCAUGGGGUCUAAAUACUCCACUCCUCAAAAACUAGCCGUUAGAGUUGUCAGACCAAAACUGGAACUUCCAGUUUCCCAAAAUCAGAACCUUCGGUUUUCAAACCUGCUAGAUGUUAGUGACAUGUGGCACAAAAAACCGAAACCCUCUGUUUCCAAAAUCGGAACUUCCUGUUUUGCCACUGCCUGACCCGUCAGUGUGUACGUGUGGCUUUUGUGUCUCUCAUCCCUCAUAGGAUACUUGAGCACUGAGACUUUGUCAAAUGACCAUGUGAUGCAUCCCUCUUGAUUGUACAGCACACCUAUACUCAAGAUCAAAACAUAAAUACAAUAUUUAUCCUCUUGAGCUUUAUUACCAUGAUCCAUGCCAUACUUUUUCAACAUAUCCACUUGAGAGUUGCAUCCAAUUUUUCCUCUUUGGUUUGAACACUUCAACCUUGAGCUAGUGACUUGGAUCAAUAUUCAACCGCAUAUGAAUGAAACCCAAUUUUAGAUCACAAGUCACUUCUUCAUAUGACUCAAUAAACAUUUGAUGCAUCCCAUUGCUAUACUCGGUAAGGCUUGACUUGAUACCUCAAAAUCCUCCAAGCACUGGCUGCUUCACCCUAGAAAAAGUCACGGACCGGGUCACCACUUGACCAAACUUUGCUUAGUAUCUCGUUGCUAAUCAUUUGCUUGAUUCCUUCAUCCAAUUUUUGCUGCAUUGAGUCUAGCUUUAUUUUGACAUCAAGAAUGAAAUCCACUUGAGAUCAUAUCUUCUUUUGACUUCUAUAUCCCAUUUGUUCAUAACAAGCUUCUCAUUUUAUUUAGAGACCAACAGAUAUACUAAUGUCAUCAUGCCUCUAUCUUUACCUCAAUUUGCUUGUCACAUAUCACACACAACCAUCAUAGGAUUUACAUAAUAUUCCUUAUUAUGACAUUCAUCUUGAACUCAAACAAUCUUGCAAUAUCAAGCUAUCAACCAAGCCUCAACUCACCUUUACACCAUUUCUUGCUUUCCAUGCUUAGAUGAACAAUGCCAUAUACCACACUUGUUCUUCUUACUAUAUGAGCCAUUUAAUACAAUCUUUCCCACAAACAUUAUUCAUCAAUAGCAUUACACCUGCUCAUAUACUUAAUCAGUUCAUUAGACCUUUAAUCAAGUUGUCAUUCAACUCACCAAAAACCACUAGGGGCCUAGAUGCUCUUUCAGCAAGACUCACCCGAAUCGGAGCUAAAACGAAGAAGGUUUGAGGCAAACAUGGUUUCAGGGACUUAGAUGCAAUUAACUAUAGAUUUGAAGGGCUAGCAAGAAAGAUCUACAAGACACGUAAAACAGUGCUCGCAAAAAGGAUAAGGCUCAGGGUUAGAUCUGCAAAACGGAAGGGUUUCAGGUUAGAUUGAAAGGAACUGGAAACUUAUAAGGGGUUUUUGGUAAAGUUUCCAAGACACAAUAAAAGGAUAAAUAAUUACAGAUUUGGCCAGGAGCCUAUCUGCAAUCAUUGGCCAUCUUCUUCCCAUGGCCUGCGGCAGCUCUGGCCGACCGGCUUGCCGGUGCUUUGGCGAGCUGGGGACCAAGGCGAGGAGGAGAAACGAGAGAGGAGAGCUUGGGGAUCCUCCUGAUGUUCUCACUGGCAGCUGGUAUGGUGGAAUCGGGCUGAAAAUUUGGCCGAUGACGGACAGUAGACGGCGGCCGGGUCGCCAUUGCGUGGCGGUGCUGCUCCGGUGACGGAACGACGUCGAGAACCAAUGGUGAUCGCGUGGCUCAACCUCAUUGACAAGCUAGCGAAGACGGCAUGCCCCGAGGAUGACAGGGUGCGCCAAAUCGGCCGGAAAAGCCAUCGGCAACGCUUGGCUCGGCCGGCUAGCUAGCAAAGCGGCGGCGCUGCGCAAGAUGAGGAUGGGGCGAGGCGGCGCAGGCGUGAGCAGAGGCAGCAGAGCGAGUAGGGAAUGUGGCUUCGCUAUUUAUAGGGGCAGGGGUGGAGACCUGGCUUGGCGCGCACGCCUAGGAGAAGGCGGCGGUAGCCAUGGCCGACCCAAGGUUUGGCACCGCCCGAUGGGCCUCGACGAGCUGGAUGGCCGGGAGGCGGCCGGAGUGGUUCGAGCCCACGGGCUCGGCCCUAUAGGAUAGGGUUAGAUUUUUAGAAAUGAUUUCUUGUGAAAGAAAAAUUCAGAAAAAUUCUAGAUAAUUUAUUUAAAUCAUGAAAAAUAUCCUAAAAGUUCCAUAAAAUUCUAGGAAAAUUCCCAGAGAUAGAUUGGGCCACAAGGAAUCCAAAUAAAAUACUUGGAACCCGUUAAAAAGAAACUAGAGCCUUCCAAAAAAAUAGAUUUAGCUCUAGAAAAAUGAGAACAAAUUCCAGAAAAAUCCGAAACAUAUCUCAGAGAACCUAACAGUCGUAAGAACGCAUUUUUAAACUGUUUCACACUCAAGUAAUAAGAAAUGCAACCAGCAUGAAUGCAACACACAGAAACUAAGGUUCAUUAAGUUAAUUUAGAAAAAGAUUUUAAUGUCUAAUAAAUUCACAAAGAAACCUUAAGGCCUUAAACGAAGUCAAACAAAUUCUAGAAGAUUCUAAUUAAUUUUAUUAAAUUGCAAAAGGUGAAAAUUAGGGUGUUACAAGUGGGAGGUCAUGCAUACAUGGCCUCCUUUUCGGCGGCGGGAGGCGGCACCGUGUGGAUGAGAUAGGAGCGAGGAGAGACAAAGAGAGUGAAGAGAGAAAAGGAAGCUAGCAUGUAGGCUCCACUGACACGUCAGCAAAGCCUCCAUCAAAACAGUUAGACAGGCAAAUGUAAAUACUUUUAAUAGUAUGAUGGUAAAAGAUUUCUAGUUUAAGUUUCAUGGUCAAAAUUAAACUCCAACAAUAGUUCGAUGGUCAAAUAUAAACUUUCCUCGCGUGGUUUGACUUUACGAGUCUUAUGAUAUCAUAAUAUGACUAUUAUUAUCAUUUCAUCGGUCAUGCCAUGCCCAUCAUACUGACAGCAUUAUCGGUCAUGAAAUUGUUCACCCUCUUAUGGAGAUUUAAUAGUAAAAUAUAUGCUGAACAAUGUCCUUAUCCAAACUAUGGUGCCUGCUUUUGGUAUUUCACAUCGAGGUUUGUGGGAUGUUUUCAUUUAGUGUUGCAGUUUUGUAUAGGCGAAAUAGGCAUUUUGUAGUGUUGCAGUUUAAAGUUUUGUAUAGGCAAACUAGGCAUUUUGGUCCCUAAAAUUAUUCCAUCCCUCAACUUUCAGAAUGUCCAUUUUAGUCCCUCGACUUUCGUUUUGGGUUAAACUCGUCCUUGUGCUGAUACGUAACUCCAUAUUAGCAUGAAACUAAUACGAAAAGUCCUUUGUACCCUUAACUUUUUUCUCUUCAAUUUUCACCUUUAGAAUUACAAUAACGUAUGAUCCAAAAUAAAUAUGAAGAUACAUAUGUUUGCGAGGGAGUAUGAAUACAUACAUGGAGUAUGUAUAACGUAGCACAAGUAUAGUAUACAUACAUACGUAUAUGUACCAAAAGAAUAUGUGUACAUAUAUUUUGCCUAUUAAAUUCGUUUGGGGACGAAACUCUGCUCACUCUGCAGCAGUGAAACUAUACACGCGUUAAAGGAUUUUCCUUUCAACACGGUUGUACAUGGACAUCUCACUCAUACCACAGGAAUUGAUAUCUAACAGAACAUGAUAGUGUAAGCUUAAAUAUUUGAACCCGAGCAUCAGUAGUUCGUCUGUUAUAAUCAUGCCAUGGGCCAUGGCGGACCAUCCUUUUCCAAUUGAGACUAGCAAGUUGCAUGCAUUAUUGUGUGUCGUGAUAUAGCUGGACGCUGGUAGCUGCACACAAUUUGCAUGGACAAUGACUGUGCGAUGACCGGACACAAAGCCGGAGGCUUGGGAUGGAUUUGUCUGUUGCAGACUUGCAGUCGUCGUCUCGUCGAUUAGCAGCCUUAUGUAAAGUUGUAAUGACUCAGCAGCUACCUCUGGUGCCACAGGCGCCAUUGUUUAGUGUCCUAGCUAGUCAUGUUUAACUACACCUAUAAGAUAAGGAGACGCAAUAGUUUCUUGAUGGCAUAGCACAAGAUUCGGUCAAAUUUGGAGCAAUACGGUAUGAGACUGUCUAAAGCGCGAGAACGGCACACACACUCUAAUCUCUAGCCUAUGCUUUCAGCUCAGCAGCGUUAUUGGAAGAGCCCAGCCCAGAUUAUCGAGCCUAAAGGCCCAUGCUCCACGCACCACCUCGUGCUUAGCCCGCCGCCGCUGGUCGCGCGCCGGCGGUGCUCGUUGAGGGCGGGGCGGGGCGGGGCGGAGACGGGAGCCGCUGCCACGGCUGCACCCCAUGCUGCACGGCCGCGGUGGCGCGGUCCACUGUCCAGUGCCCAGUGCCCAUUUCAGCAGUUUCUCAAUAGUUGACUUUGUCCGCUUUACAGUUGCUGGGUUGGUAGCCGACGAGUGUACUGUUCACCUGAUCAUAUCUUGGUCUGAGGCACAACAUUGGUCCUGUGUUAGUUCCAGUCCCGGCUAGCUCAACAACCAGAUGCAUUGACGCUUUGUCUGGGUUUUCACAUCUUUGGUAGUUCAUUUGUGGUAUGCCUAGAGGGGUCUUCCACUCUAUCCCAAAUAUGAUAUAUCGAUUACUUGAUUGCCUACCCCAACCUGCAUGGAAUGGGACAAAGAGGCUUUGUAGUUGUAAUUUUAGAUCGAUAGCUAUCGUUAGAUGCAAUUCUGCACUCGGAUUGAACAAAUCUUCAUAAGAUUAUAUCAAUAACAAUGGCGUUUUCUCCUGAUUUAGAGCACAAAUUACAACAGAAUCUAGCAUGGAUAUUAUUGAAGAAAUGUUACAGUUAACUUUUUUUUCUCUCAUCUAUAUGUUAUUUGUUCCCCUUAGUACAAAGAACCUUAUUUAUGCAGGCUUUAAGCAGGUCCUACCAUUACAUUUGGGCUACUGACGUCAUCUACUAAAACAAGCAUCUGGACCACAUUUUCCAUGGUUGGUCUUCUGUCUCUAUCUUCCUCCAUGCAUGAAACAGCCAGCCUCAUCAUUGUUCUUGCUUUCAAAUUGUUGAAUUGACCAUUCAGUCUAGCGUCAAUAAAGUCGGCGAUCCAAGAUUGUUCACUGCCAUUGCCAUCCAACUUCAGCUUUUCAUUGACCAUCCUUGAUAUCCUUCCAAGGACCAUCUCCACUUCCUCAUCCUCAUUAUUUUCCAUGUCAGAGGCACGAACUCCCUUGAGUAGUUCUAGUAGCACCACUCCAAAGCUGUAGACAUCAACCUUUGCUGUAAUUGGGAGACUAGAAACCCAUUCAGGCGCUAAAUAACCUCUAGUUCCUUGGACCUUUGAAACAUUUAUGUUGGAUCCACCUCUGGUCUGGAGCUUUGCAAGGCCAAAGUCAGCAACCUUUGGCACCAAGUUCUCAUCCAGCAGUAUAUUUUCGGGCUUCACAUCACAGUGGAUGACCCACUCUGAACACUCGUGGUGAAGAUAUGCCAAUCCUCUAGCCACCCCUAGGGCAAUGUUAAAUCUUUGCUUCCAUCCAAGUAAGAUUUCUGAACCCUCAGUACCAAAAUAAGACUUUAUCCAAUGAACCAUUCUCAAAAUAUUAUGUAACCAAUAUCCUAUGUGGACCAUCAGAACAGAAACCCCAAACUCUCUCAAGAUUCAUAUGGUAAAUCCUACUAAUCACACUCAGUUCAUGCUGGAAUUCUUCUUCACUUUGGUUUAUUUCUGCCAACUUUUUCACAGCUACUGCCCUGUUGUCUCUCAGGACUCCUUUGUAUACAAUGCCUGAUGAUCCCCUUCCAAUUUCAUCCUUGAACUUUCUAGUCGCUGACACCAACUCUCUGUAGGUGUACCUGCGAAAAUGGUUAGUUAUCAUUUCAUAUCCAGCCUCAGCUGCCAUACUCCUCUUAGUUCCCUGCGCUCCCUCCUCAUAAUAAACCAUCCAAAUACAACAAACAUAAGCUCUGCCAGAAAUAUUGCUGAUAAAAAUCCAUAGAAGUACAAAUACUUCGACUCACUCUAAUCUCUCUUAAGCAUACCCAGAAAAUCUGCUAUAAAGUAUUUAUUUGGUGUACUACAGUCAGGACCAUACUUAGGAGCAAAAGGUUGUGACUGCGGAAUUGAGGCAUCCAACACUUCUAGUCCCUUAGGAAUCUUGAUGUACAUGGUACCAGUACUGCCAAGGUUAUGCAGGGUUACACCACCAAGCAUAACAGACUUUGGAUAGCAAUCUCCAGUUCCUUCCCAGUAUGCAAAACCCUUACAAUUGCAGUCAUGCAAGCAUUUCUUCAUGCAAAAGUCAAGAGAAAUGAAACGGUGGGUAGUCAUAUCAUACCCAAAGAAAUCAGUGUGGGGUAGCUUAGCAAAUUUCACCUUCUGUGCAUCACAACUGAUGUUGGUCUUUGGUCUGCAGCCUUUGCUCCGGUCGCUUGGGUCAAUGACUACAAAACCAGGGGCACACGCACAAGCAGGCGCAGGCGUAUACACGUUGUACCUAUGUGAUUUCUUUGUAGCUUAAUUAAUCUUAUGUAAUUUGAUAUUUACAGCCUAGGAGUUUGAAUACCUUUUUAUUGAAAAUCCAUUGAAAGCACGGUCAAGCGGCCAGUUCACAAAGAAUAAAACUUUUGCAGAAAUGGGUUUGCGCUACUUCAAUAAAAAAACGCCAAGACAAUUUGGUAAACAGAACUUUCAAUGAAUUUCAUAAAAAAAAAGAACUUCCAAUGAAAAAAAAAUCAAUGUUAAAAUUGACCACACUGGAUACUAACCUGACACCAAUUUCACCCUUCCAUUACAAAUUGAUGGCUCUUGAAAUAAGACUUAAUCCGUUUGUAUGGUUGAAUUGCUGCGUGAUAUCUUACCCAAAUGUGUAUCCAGCACCUCUCGGAGAAAUUCCCCAUCCACAUCGAUCAUCCGGAUCAGACCACAACAGAUCACGCAUAGGCCCUUCAUGUGGGACCUACAACCAUUUUAGGGAACAGAGCAAACUAUUAAUCAAGUUAAACAAAAUUUGUGUAAAACAACAAACUCAUUCAGGGCAUUAAGGGCCUAUUAAGGGUCUAUUUGUUUGAGUUAACAGUUUCUCAGCAUGAAAAGUCAGAAGCUCAAACAAACAGCGAAUUUCUAAUGCAGCUUCCGGAAAGCUGAAAGCUCCAAAAAGCUGAGUUUAUAUGGAAAGAAAAAGCUAACAACAGUUUCUCAAAAAACUCAAAAGCUACAGCUCAAACAAACAAACCCUAGCCCCAUUGUCGAUUUGCCAUUUAUAGACCCAAAAGCCCAUCUGGGCUGCUUCCGUGGCCCACUCCACGGUUCACACUUUCGACCUAGAGCAAAAUGCCAAAACCCAUCUCCCAAUCUUGCGACGGCGGCGCUCAUUGAGGGCUGGGCUGCCGGAGAACGGAGCAGCUGGCCGUUGUGCCUCCCCCACGGCGGAGCAGCAUGAUGCAGGGGUGCACAGGCUUGGUUCAGAGCCCAUUCGACCACACAGGUAUGACCGUACGACUCUAUGAAUAAGUGAGUAACAGCAGCCGCUCAGUUGUUGAUCCGUUUCCCCUUUGCAGCUGUAGAGAGGCUUAAUUGUUAGAUUGAUGUGUUAUCUUUCCAAUCGGAUUGGUUAGGCAUUAGCCAGCAAAUGUACUAUUCACCGAAUUGCUAAAAACUUCCAGUCUAGCCAAAAUACGACCUAUUAGUAUUUGAUUGCCUACCUCAAAACUUGCUUGGGACUACAGCCUCCAAGUGAUAGUAUCAUUGGUGCUUGCAUUGAACGAAUUAAAAUGAAAAAUGCUCUAUUGGAUGUUCCGAUGGAUCCUAGAAAAGCGUCGGAGCAAGCGUCGAAAUAAUUGGUACGCAACAAAGAAGUCUAGACAAAGUCAACCAUCGGAUAUUCUGAUGGUCACUUUUCUAGUAGCGUUGGACGAAUUCUGAGGGACAGGCUUGGAAGAUGAAAAAAAUCCAAGCACCGAAUGAUCCGACGGUACGCGCAAGAGGAGCGUCAAACAAAGCAUAUUUUCUUUGAUCCCUUACAGAAGGUUUUAGCUAGAAUGCCUUCAACACCGAACGAUCCAACGGCACCAUCGGAGAAAGCAUCGGAGCAAUUACGUCAGGAGAAUCCAACGGCUAUGUGACGUGAGCAGUGGCACCGGAUGAUCUAAUGGGGGCAUCGGAUAAAGCGUUGGAUGAAUUUCUGAAGAACUUGGGCGCGGAGAGUCCAACGGCUAGUUGCACCGGAUGUUCUGAUGCAGGCCAAAAAUAGACCAUCGGAACAUCCGAUGGUAUACUUUUUCACUAACCGUUGGAGCAACGGCUCUUUGAGCCUUUGGGGCUAUUUAUACCCCCACUACUCACCCAUUUGAAGUAGAUGAAGUGUCCAGGGCUGCAUUGAAAACCAAGACUCAUUAAGAACACAUCCAUGCCACCAAAAGUGCUUAAGUGAUACAUCAAAGGCUUAGCACAAGCUUAGGAGAGUGAUUAGUGCUAGGAUAGGCCUAGAGAGGUGUGAGUGCUAGGUGUGUCAACCUUGUGAUCAUGUUCUAGAGUGAACCACCAUUGUACAAGAGGUGUGCCGGCGCCUUGGAGCCUUCGUGGCUCGCUGGCAAGUCUUCGACCCUCCGGCUUGGUGUGGAGCGGCGUCAACGACCUUGUGCGGGGGACGUGGAGACCUCCUUCUUUCGUGAAGAAGCUCCUUAGUGAAAACGGCAUUAAAGUGAUCGAGGGACUUGGCGUGAGCCUUAGUGGACGAGCCUUUGUGGCAAGUCAAGGGGCAACUUGGGAGAGACUUGGUGACCGGGAAACAAUACUCUUGUGUGAUUACUUCAACAACGUAGACUAAUGGUGACUUAGUGCCUACCGAUACCACAAGAUAAAUCCUUGUGUCAAAAGUUUGCUUCCUCUCAUCCGCUCCUUACGUUUCCGCAUUUCAUACUUGCAACUUGUGUGCCUUUACUUUCCUAGAGUAGUAUCUUGAUAGGAUUAGCUAUAUGUUGCAAAACUUGUUUUGAGAUGAGGAUUUAGAAUGCACUUCUAGGAUAGAAUGAUCUAGUUUACUUACAUGUAAAGUAGUGGAAGCCAUAGGUUAAGUUUUUAAGUUGCCUAAUUCACCCCUCCGGCAGCAGUCACCAGAUCCUUGAAAGUAUGCGAACCCAUUACAUUUGCAGUCACUCAAACAUAUCUGCUUGCAGAAGUUAAGAGAGACAGAACGUUGAGCACUUAGAUCUACCCGUAGAAGUUAGUGCUGGGUAGAUGAACAAAUUUCACCUUUUCCUCAUCACAAGUAAUAUUGAUCUUUGGUCUGCAGCCUUCACCCCAGUCACUUUGGUCGAUGACUUCAAAACCAGGGGGGCACUUCAAAAACAGGAGUAUACACACAUAUUCCAUCUCUGCCACUUAACCAUAUACCUUGCAGAGCUGUGGAAACACCAUCCAUGUGACUGACCAUGUUCCAUUAUCGUUCAGACUAUACAGUCUGAGAUUGCCAUCAUAAUCCAAUGUUAGCCUUCUUAUAAUGUGACUACCCCAGUCACAGCCAUGAAAGAUGUGCUAUCACUUCCCUGAAACUGCCCCAAACUGUCAAGAACACCGCUUGCGUUCAUCAUAAACUGUAACCUUAGCUUUGCCCAUAUAGUCAUAGCUGGAUCUGGCCAAUAGAUGAGUGAGAGAUCCUUUUGAUCAUCAAAUAGUGAAAUCAGGAAGUGAUCAUCAAAAUGUAAGCUAUAGUGGCCAGGAACAAGCAAUCUAUUAGUGGACACGAGCUUGGUGGUAACAUUAAUCCUGAGUGGGUAACAAGGUAUCAGUAGGAGAAUUAAAGCUUUGCCAUAGAAUGAUUUCACCUUUGCCUUUCACGAUGAGGUUCCCUGUGUCCAAGAGUUGAGCUUGUCCUGCAAUUGAGGACCUCACAUUGUUGGUUCACACGGUCUGACCAGUGUAAUCUUUAGCACCAUGCUUCCAUCAAAAUUUAGUUUGACAUUUGAUCCCCAGCUGUACACGGGAUGAAGAGGAUUUGCACUCCAGACAACGGGUCUUUCAGAAACAUUGGAGAACCAAACGAAGAAGGUGGAUGCGUUGGGGGAGAUGUUGUAGAAGCCACAAAUGAAUCUACCAUUUUGCGAACGGAGCACGUCGAUGCUCUGCUCUGCUGAGAGAGAGGAGCCUGGUGAGAGGACAUCUAUUGCAGAGUUAUGGCAAAGACGAUGAAUCAGAAUGAGAAGAAACACAAAUGUGGAGACUGCAGCCAUGGCUAUCCCAGCAUUUGAGUUGAUCUUCAAAUGACCUGGAUGGAGGACGCUAUUAUAGGAACCAACUUGCAAUGCACUAUCCAGCCUCCAGAAGCAAGUGAUAGACUCGGCCAACAUUAUUGAAGUCAGUUAAGAUUCGGUGAAUAGUGAACCGUGCUGUGGAGUCUUUAUUCAUUUGUGAUUUAACGUUGUAGAGAAGGCUCUUUUCCGACUGAGAGGGACUGCACCAUGUGCGGUCUGCCGGUCUCUCGUAUUAUCUGUAAGCCUUCGAUAAAAUCAAAGGUAACAAUAUAGAUUAUUAAUUUCUCAAAGGGUCACCUGUCAAGAUGUUUUUUUCAAUCUGACGCUAAGAUUUCAAGGUGUAUGCUACAAUAUGAAAUAUGUAUUGAUAUUGCACUUAUUUGGUAUUGCACGUGUUAAUAAUUUCUCUUUCUACAAAUUUAGUCAAAGUUAGAAAACUUGACUUAGGACAAAAAUGGGACCUAAAUUUGGAACAGAAGGAUUACGUGAUGUCUUCACAAGUAUCUAAAGUGAUUGUCUCUUUCUGAAGAGAUGGCCUAAAAUCUACUCUUGUCAACUCAAGAUUCUAGUGGGUGAUAUAAAAUUGAUGCAAAUGAGAUACAGCUAUAGUGUUUCUUUUUCUUACACGAAUACUACCUAUCUUUGUUUGUUUUGUUUUAACGGAAGAUGCACUCCUGAAGUGUAAUUGCUAGCUAUACGAGCUCGCUCGGCGUACAGAUUGUUCUUUGAGGGAGCGACGAGGUUUGCAGGAGCACGGGCCAUCUGAAGAGCCUGGGCACAUAUGAAAGUCAAAUUCUUCAUGUGGCUUGCGGUUCGUCAGCGUGGACAAUAGGCAGAAGGCACAGACGGGCUUUGCGAGACCUGACCAGUGUCACCAAGUUCUUGUACGAUUGGAUCGUGGAACGGGUAGGCGGGUACAAAACGGGUAUACCCCUUCGGAACGAUGAAUCGAGACUUUGGAAUGUGAACCAAUUACUUUCUGUAGGAUAGCUUGGUACGAUAUGCUAUCGAACUUUCACAUAGGUAAAAAAAAUUAGAAAAGAAGGAUAAAAGAAAUAAAUAUACUAUUGGGUUGUCAUUUACAUGCUCUCUUAGUAGUUCCAGCAGCACCAAUCCAAAGUUGUAGACAUCAACCUUUGCUGUAAUUGGGAGACUAGAAACCCAUUCAGGCGCUAAAUAACCUCUAGUUCCUCAAAAUAAAUCAUCCUAAUGCAACAAACAUUAGCUCGGACAGAAUUAUUGCUUAUAAAAAUCCGUAGAAGUACAAGGUGAUACAAUCAGAUAUCUGUAAAGCACACUAGAGCAGAUUUUACGGUGCUAUAGCACACAUACUUACAACACAAUAUAGCAUGGAUACUGCAUAUUUGAUAGAACUACCAUUUUCUAUCAAUGUAUUGUUUGCAUGGCCCUUAGUACAAAGAACCAUUUGGACGCAGGCUUUUAAUAAGCAACUCCUCCCAUUUUAGUUGCACUGCUGACAGCGUCAACUGAAACAAGCGUCUGCACCACAUUUUCCAUAGUUGGUCUUCUGCCUCUAUCUUCCUCCAGACAUGAAACAGCUAGCUUAAUCAUUGUUCUUGCUUGCAAGUAGUUGAAGUCGCCAUUCAGUCUACUGUCAAUAAAGUUGGGGAUCCAAAAUUGUUCAGUGCCAUCCAACUGCAAAUUCUCUUUAAGCAUCCUGACUAUCCUUCCAAGGACCAUCUCCACCUCCUCAUUCUCAUUAUUUUCCAUGUCCGAAAUUCGGGCUCCCUUUAGUAGUUCCAGUAGCACCACUCCAAAGCUGUAAACAUCUACCUUUGCGGUUAUUGGGAGACUAGAAACCCAUUCAGGAGCUAAAUAACCUCUAGUUCCUUGGAUCCGAGAAACAUCUAUAUUUGAUCCACCUCUGUUCAAGAGCUUCGCGAGGCCAAAGUCAGCGAUCUUUGGCACCAAGUUCUCAUCCAGCAGUAUAUUUUCAGGCUUGACAUCACAGUGGAUGACCCACUCUAAGCACUCAUGAUGAAGAUACGCCAAUCCUCUUGCCACGCCUAAGGCAAUAUUAAACCUUUGCUUCCAUUCAAGUAAGAUUUCUGAGCCUUCGACGGCGAACAAGGUUUUUUCCAACGAGCCAUUCUUCACAUAUUCUGAAAUCAAUAUCCUGUGUGGACCAUCAGAACAGAAUCCCCAGACUCUCACUAGAUUCAUAUGGUAAAUCCUGCCAAUCACACUUAGUUCAUGCUGGAAUUCUUCUCCACCUUGGUUUAUAUCUCCCAAUUUUUUCACAGCUACAACCCUAUUGUCUUUCAAAACUCCUUUGUACACGAUGCCUGAUGCUCCCCUUCCAAGCUCAUCCUUAAAUUUUCUAGUAGCUUUCACUAACUCUCUAUAGGUAUAUCUUCGGAAAUGGUUUGUUAUCAUUUCAUAGCCUGCCUCAGCUGGCCAUGCUCCUCUGAGUUGUCCUCUCUCCCUUCUCAAAAUAAACCAUCCUAAUACAAUAAAUAUUAACUCUGCUACAAAUAUCGCUGAUAAAAACCCGUAGAAAUACAAAUACUUUGAUAUAUUCUGACUGGCCUUAUUCAUAUUGGAGAAGUUGGCAAUGACAUAUUCGUUUGCUGCACUGCAGUUUGGUCCAUAUUCAGGACCAAAAACUUGUGGCCGAGGAAUUGAGGACCCAGAUACUUCUAAGUCCUUUGCGAUUUUAAGGUACACGCUACCGAUACCAUCUAGACUUCUGCCGUUUAGUAGAAUAGCCUUCGGGUAGCAGUCACCAAGUCCUUGAAUGUAUGCGAACCCAUUACAAUUGCAGUCAAUCAAACAUAUCUGCUUGCAGAAGUUAAGAGAGACAGAACGGUGAGCACUUAGAUCUUGCCCGUUGAAGUUAGUGUUGGGUAGAUGAACAAAUUUCACCGUUUGCUUAUCACAAGUAAUAUUGAUCUUUGGUCUGCAGCCUUCGCCCCAGUCACUUUGGUCGAUGACUUCAAAACCAGGGGGGCAUACACAGGUUGGCACAGGAGUAUACACACAUAUUCCAUUUCUGCCGCAGACACCAUGUAUCUUGCAGAGCUGUGGAAACGCCAUCCAUGUGACUGACCAUGUUCCAUUAUCGUCCAGACUAUACAGUCUGAGAUUGCCAUCAUAAUCCAACGUUAGCCUUCUUAUAAUGUGACUACCCCAGUCCGCAGCCAUGAAAGAAGUGUUAUCGCUUCCCCAGAACUGCCCCAAGCUGUCUAGAACACCACUUGUGUUGAUCAUAAAAGGUAUCCUUAGCUUUUGCCAGAUAGUCAAAGUUGGAUCUGGCCAAUAGAUGAAUGAGACAUCCUUUUGAUUUUCAAAUAGUGAAAUCAGGAUCUGAUCAUCAAAAUGUAAGCUAUAGUGGCCAGGAACAAGCAAUCUAUUAGUGGACACGAGCUUGAUGGUAGCAUUAAUCCUCUGAGUGGGUAACAAGGUAUCAGUAGGAGAAGUAAAGCUUUGCCAUAGAAUGGUAUCACCUUUGCCCUUCACGAUGAGAUUUCCAGUGUCCAAGAGCUGAGCUUGUUCUGCAUUUGAGGAGCUCACGUUGUUGGUCCACACAAUCUGGCCACCGUAGUCCCUUAGAACCAUGCUCCCAUCGACAUUUAACUUGACCUUUGAUCCCCAGGUGUACACAGGGCGGAGAGGAUUUGCACUCCAUACAACAGUUCUUUCAGACACUUUGGAGAACCAAAUGGAGAAGGUGGAUGAGUUGGGGGAGAUUUUGUAGAAGCCACAGCUGAACGUACCAUCUGGCGAACGGAGUACAUCGGAGCUG
rnacentral:lncRNA from 1 species